UACGAAGGGGGCUAGCGUUGCUCGGAAUCACUGGGCGUAAAGCGCACGUAGGCGGAUCGUUAAGUCGGGGGGUGAAAUCCUGGAGCUCAACUCCAGAACUGCCUUUGAUGACUGAAGAUCUUGAGUUCGGGAGAGGUGAGUGGAACUGCGAGUGUAGAGGUGAAAUUCGUAGAUAUUGGGAAGAACACCGGUGGCGAAGGCGGCUCUCUGGACCGAGACGUACGCUG
rnacentral:rRNA from 1 species